rnacentral:rRNA from 1 species
AACGAACGCUGGCGGCAGGCCUAACACAUGCAAGUCGAACGGGACCUUCGGGUCUAGUGGCGGACGGGUGAGUAACGCGUGGGAACGUGCCCUUUGGUUCGGAAUAGCCCCGGGAAACUGGGAGUAAUACCGGAUAAGCCCUACGGGGGAAAGAUUUAUCGCCAAAGGAUCGGCCCGCGUUGGAUUAGGUAGUUGGUGGGGUAAUGGCCUACCAAGCCGACGAUCGAAAGCUGGUUUGAGAGGAUGAUCAGCCACACUGGGACUGAGACACGGCCCAGACUCCUGCGGGAGGCAGCAGUGGGGAAUCUUAGACAAUGGGGGAAACCCUGAUCUAGCCAUGCCGCGUGAUCGAUGAAGGCCUUAGGGUUGUAAAGAUCUUUCAGUGGGGAAGAUAAUGACUGUACCCACAGAAGAAGCCCCGGCUAACUCCGUGCCAGCAGCCGCCGUAAUAC